AACGCACCUUGCGCCCCUUGGUAUUCCGAGGGGCAUGCCUGUUUGAGUGUCAUUAAAUUCUCAACCUUACUAGCUUUUAUGAGCAAUGUAAUGGCUUGGAUGUGGGGGUCUUUUUUUGCUGGCUUCGAAAGAAAUCAGCUCCCCUAAAAUGUAUUAGCUGGUGCCCCUGUGUGGACUAUCUACUGGUGUGAUAAUUAUCUAUGCCGUUAGAUGUCUGCUUUAAAUAGGGAUGUGCUGCUUCUAAUUGUCCACUUAGGACACUUAUUGACUAUUUGACCUCAAAUCAGGUAGGACUACCCGCUGAACUUAA
rnacentral:misc_RNA from 1 species